CCACCCCAUCCCAUCCCCAUCAACAACGCAAAAACCUAAACCGCUCUGGUCCAUCCACAUCCACAGUCGCCAUCGCCCCCACCUCUCGUCGUCGUCUCCGUGCACCACUAGGCCCCCACUGCCGGCCGCGCCUCCUAGCCACCUCGUGCCGCUCGGCCACCAUGCCCGUCCUCCACUGCCCCUAUGGCUGCCAUGGGCGAGCGCUGCCCGAGCAGCCGACCGCCCUUUCCCUACCGUUUUCAGCUGCCGCGCGCUGCCUCUCCUCCCCGCCAGGCCUCCACUGCCCACUUCUCCGGCGGCUACAGCGGAAGGCAAGGAGAAGGACAGCGGGCAGCGGUAGCUAGAUCUAGCAAGCACAGGGCGUCUUCUCCAUCCGCCACCUCUCGGCGCAUCAUCAGCUGAGGCUGAGCUCUCUCAUUCACCGCUGGCUCUUGCUCUUGUGUUCAUAAGUAACUUCGCAUUGCCUUGCCCCCUUGUCCUGCUCCCUCCUCCCCUCCGGAUCUCCCCGCCUGCUCCAUUUAAUUACUGACUCGUACCCUUCCCCGCAUUCGCCUUCUUGUUUCUUCCAUCCCACCCGUAUCAGCCACCGGUUCCCAAUGCCCAGGUAGGCAGCCCAGCACUGUGUGGUCGUCUGAUCCGCGGCGGCGCGCCCGUCGUUACCUACGCGAAUGGCUCCUCCAGCAGGGGCAGGGACGGAGGGGAGGCCGGCGCAGCGGCGCGGCACCGGAACCAGCCCCGGCCGCACCAAGGUGUGGGUCGAGCCACCGGGCAAGAGCCGCGACCACCACCAGCCACCUCGUGCCGCCGCCCGUCCUCCACUGCCCCUAUGGCUGCCACGGGCGAGCGCUGCCCGAGCAGCCGACCACCCUUUCCCCACCGUCUUCAGCUGCCGCGCGCUGCCCCGCCUCCCCGCCAGGCCUCCACUGCCCACUUCUCCGGCGGCUACAGCGGAAGUCAAGGAGAAGGACAGCGGGCAGCGGUAGCUGGAUCUGGCAAGCACAGGGCCGUGCCCCCGGCGGCGCCCGGAUCCGCGUUGCUUGCAACCCCCCCACCCCAGUAGACCUAAUUUAGAAUGUUGUGCAUCAGCGAGUGUUCAUGUUGAUUCUAGGGUUACAUAAUUCAUUUUACUAGAGAUGGCACUAUUCACCCUGCCAAAUAAAUUUAUCUUUCACUUGUAGGUAAUUUAGGCGUUUGUCAUAAUCUCUGAUAUAUGAGGAAAGAGAAGGAACAUGUUGGAGAUGGAGUAGAGUUGCUGGAUGAUGAUAUGUUUGUGUUGCUAUUGUUCAAAAAUUCACCAAACUCUACUUCAGUGAGUGCACAUGGAUGCGAGGAGUAGAGUGCCUCGAUGGCGAGGCAGGUUCAUCCAGACAAGAAGAAACCAUGAUGGAAUCUGGAUUUCCCCUCUAUCCGAUGGAAUCCAGAUUCAGUGCCAGUCCGUUUUCCUGUGAUUUUGGGAUACCAGCCCAAUUCCCCUUCAUGGAGGGUAUGCGUUGCUGUUGGUUGGCACACCGGAAGGCAGAACCUUUAGCUGUGAAGGCCUGUGACUGAGGUCAUUUCAUGCAACUAACAAUUCUGGUGAAGACUAUCCAAUCUUAGGACACAACAUGCAACAAUUAGACGUAUCUAUCAUGAUCCUUCUAUAAUUUAACGAUCCUUAUAUAGUUUAACAAGUAUUAUGUUUUUCUGUAAAGCUUAGAAAUACUUAUUUUGUUAAUGCAUAGAAAAUCAAUGAAAAAAAUGUAGAGCUUUUAUG